CCUACGGGGGGCAGCAGUGAGGAAUAUUGGUCAAUGGACGAGAGUCUGAACCAGCCAAGUUGCGUGAAGGAUGACUGCCCUAUGGGUUGUAAACUUCUUUUAUAUGGGAAUAAAAUGUUCCAUGUGUGGGAUUUUGUAUGUACCAUAUGAAUAAGGAUCGGCUAACUCCGUGCCAGCAGCCGCGGUAAUACGGAGGAUCCGAGCGUUAUCCGGAUUUAUUGGGUUUAAAGGGAGCGUAGGUGGAUUGUUAAGUCAGUUGUGAAAGUUUGCGGCUCAACCGUAAAAUUGCAGUUGAAACUGGCAGUCUUGAGUACAGUAGAGGUGGGCGGAAUUCGUGGUGUAGCGGUGAAAUGCUUAGAUAUCACGAAGAACUCCGAUUGCGAAGGCAGUUCACUGGACUGCAACUGACACUGAGGCUCGAAAGUGUGGGUAUCAAACAGGAUUAGAUACCCGUGUAGUC
rnacentral:rRNA from 1 species